rnacentral:rRNA from 1 species
UGACCUACGGGGCGCAGCAGUGGGGAAUAUUGCACAAUGGGGGACACCCUGAUGCAGCAACGCCGCGUGAGUGAAGAAGUAUUUCGGUAUGUAAAGCUCUAUCAGCAGGGAAGAAAAAAGACGGUACCUGACUAAGAAGCCCCGGCUAACUACGUGCCAGCAGCCGCGGUAAUACGUAGGGGGCAAGCGUUAUCCGGAUUUACUGGGUGUAAAGGGAGCGUAGACGGAGGAGCAAGUCUGAUGUGAAAAUCCGGGGCCCAACCCCGGCACUGCAUUGGAAACUGUCUAUCUA